rnacentral:lncRNA from 1 species
GACCUGAUUCAGCUGAAAUGAGAGCAGGUUUAACAGUCUGGAAGAGAUGCCCUCUGACCAUCUGCUCUGGUGGAUCAUCUGUCCACCCAUACAUCCAAGCUUCAGAUGUCAGUCCCCACCUUUAAGAGAGCUUCCAGACCACACUGACAGGAGGUGGGACAAUGUACCCCCAGGAAACUGGGACACAGAGGUAUAG